rnacentral:rRNA from 1 species
GGUAAUUUUCCGCAAUGGGCGAAAGCCUGACGGAGCAAUACCGCGUGAGGGAAGAAGGCUCUUGGGUUGUAAACCUCUUUUCUUAGGGAAGAAAAAAAUGACGGUACCUAAGGAAUAAGCAUCGGCUAACUCCGUGCCAGCAGCCGCGGUAAUACGGAGGAUGCAAGCGUUAUCCGGAAUGAUUGGGCGUAAAGCGUCCGCAGGUGGCAAGUCAAGUUUGCGGUUAAAGGCUCUGGCUCAACCAGAGACAGGCCGUGAAAACUGACUAGCUAGAGUAUGGUAGGGGCAGAGGGAAUUCCCAGUGUAGCGGUGAAAUGCGUAGAGAUUGGGAAGAACACCGGUGGCGAAAGCGCUCUGCUAGGCCAAAACUGACACUGAGGGACGAAAGCUAGGGGAGCGAAUGGGAUUAGAUACCCCAGUAGUCCUAGCCGUAAACGAUGGAUACUAGGUGUAGCUUGUAUCGACCCAAGCUGUGCCGUAGCUAACGCGUUAAGUAUCCC